UGUAAACACUCUUUAAUUUGACUUUGCAGCUGUCUGAAAAGUUACAGCAAAGAUAUCUCCAAUUUAAACAAUGAACAGGAUUCUCUAUCACAUCAGUAUGAUGUAUGUACUACUGGAGAGUCCCUAGGAUAUGAUCUGAGAGAACACGAUUGUCUGCAAUAUUAUGAUAAUGUUUCAGAUGUACCAAAUUUCCAAACUCUCUCGCAAAUAUCAACAUAUAGGGAUGAAAUGAAAACGCUGCAAAAUGCAAAUGAAGUAUUGAAAAUAGUGACUAGCGGAAAGGCAAGCCCUUUGUGUGCACAGCUUUGCACAGAUAUUUCAUCAGCUGGGGAAAGUACUAUACAUUACCAUGAAAGAAAAGCAGACGAGUCUGUGGAUUCAGUUCUCAAUCUGGACAAUCUUCAAACUUGAAGCAGCUAAUUACAGAAUCAAAUGGUGAACAAUUGUUUUCAAGGUUAAUCAGUGGUUAAACUCCACCCAAAUCACCUUAGUUUUUUGUGCCUACCCAGCAAAAAUUCACAAAUACAUUAGUUGAAGACUGAAAUUGGUGAUGAUGAUCAAAUUGUUUGCUGCACUUGCUACAAUUGAUGAAAAAAUGUGAUUGAUAAUAUUGAGUGAUUGUUAUCAGAUACUGUUAUGUAAUGUAACAUGAAAAUUUAUACUUAUGUUAGUAUGUAUGAAGUUUUUGAUAAGAGGAGGCCAAGGUCAAAGGUCAGAAUUGUUCAUUUGGUGGAAGAGCUCUUAAUCUCAUUAAUAUGUAUCAUUAUAUGCAGUUUGAAAAAAUAAAAAUAUCUUGACUACUUUCUUUUAAAUUGAGCUUAACACAAAUUUCUGAUGAGGUCAAGGUCAAAUAAAAGGUAAAAAAAAAUUAUAAUGCAGUUGAACAAAUGUCAGUUUUGAGUGAUAGACUAUGGUAAGGUUAUAGUCUUAAAAUGUAUGUAUGUUAUAUAAGAUGUACAAAUCACAUCUAUACAGAGCUAUAAUUUACACUUUUAAAGAAAAGUUUACAAUUAUUAAAGUAAUUUUGAAAAAAAGAACUGUGAUAUUCCAGUUUUCUUUCCUUGCAAUGAUUGUGCAGUAUAUUGAUUCAUAUUUUACAAGAAGGAAUUAAAUGUACAUGACUUGGAUCAAAAUAUAUGUAGAUUAUUUUGGUGACAAAUAAUGGGUCACCUUGAACUGUUGUAAGACUCAUAAGGUUAAGUGGUUGUUUACUUAUAUUAUUUAGUCCAUGGUGGACUAUAAUGAACAGUUUAAGGAACUCUUGCAAAUUAUAAAUUGUACAAUAUAACACCAAGAUGUAAAACUGUUUUAUUGUUAAAGAUCAUUAGCAAUGUGCUUUGAUUAUAUUUUCAAAUGGUAUUAAAUAUCGGUAUUUG